CCUACGGGGUGCUGCAGUGGGGAAUAUUGGACAAUGGGCGAAAGCCUGAUCCAGCCAUGCCGCGUGUGUGAAGAAGGCCUUCGGGUUGUAAAGCACUUUCAGUGGGGAAGAAAGCCUUGGGGCUAAUACCCUCGAGGAAGGACAUCACCCACAGAAGAAGCACCGGCUAACUCCGUGCCAGCAGCCGCGGUAAUACGGAGGGUGCGAGCGUUAAUCGGAAUUACUGGGCGUAAAGCGCGCGUAGGCGGUCUGAUAAGCCGGUUGUGAAAGCCCCGGGCUCAACCUGGGAACGGCAUCCGGAACUGUCAGGCUAGAGUACAGGAGAGGAAGGUAGAAUUCCCGGUGUAGCGGUGAAAUGCGUAGAGAUCGGGAGGAAUACCAGUGGCGAAGGCGGCCUUCUGGACUGACACUGACGCUGAGGUGCGAAAGCGUGGGUAGCAAACAGGAUUAGAUACCCUAGUAGUC
rnacentral:rRNA from 1 species